UAAUUUUAUUAUUAUUAUUUAAUAUAUUUAAAUAAUAAUAUAUAAAUUUUAAUUGGGGUGAUUAAGGAAUAAUUAAGUAAGAUAACUUCCUUAGAUUUAAUAUAUGUGUAUUAAGUAACCAAUAAUAUAUUGCUUAUAAUAUAGUUA
rnacentral:rRNA from 1 species